UGCCAGCAGCCGCGGUAAUACGUAUGGUGCAAGCGUUAUCCGGAAUCACUGGGCGUAAAGGGCGCGUAGGCGGUCUUGUCGGUCAGAUGUGAAAGCCCAGGGCUCAACCCUGGACGUGCAUUUGAAACAGCAAGACUUGAAUACUGGAGAGGAAAGCGGAAUUCCUGGUGUAGAGGUGAAAUUCGUAGAUAUCAGGAGGAACACCGAUGGCGAAGGCAGCUUUCUGGACAGAUAUUGACGCUGAGGCGCGAAGGCGUGGGUAGCGAACAGGAUUAGAUA
rnacentral:rRNA from 1 species